rnacentral:lncRNA from 1 species
AUAUUAUUCAUCUUGUAUAAAUAUAAUACGUAAUAUAUAUGUAAAUUUUAUUUCACGUGAUAGUUCGUAAUAUGGCUACAACAAGGAAUCAACGUUAAUGCGAACGACAACAUUUAGGUUUAUUUUAAAUUAUGGUCAUACAAGUAAUUGUGAUAUAUAAUGAUAUUAGGCAUCGGGAACAAUAUCUUCCUAGAGCUCCUCUCACUAAUUGGGAUUCAGAAAGGGAGAUGACACUUACAUGAAUGUUUGGUACGAGUGAUACGAUAUGUCGUCAUUCACCUUGGAUGAAAAUAGGUCCAUUUCAAAGAUUGUGUGCUCAUUUGCGAACUUAUAGGUUGUUUGAUAGUAAGUUUGUCCGAAUUGAGGAACAAGUGGCUAUUUUUCUAAACACCGUCGGGCAAGACCAACGUAAUCGAGCUGGACUUUACUUUUUUUCGAUCUAGUCAAAUAGUGAGUUUUUACUUCCACAUAGUCUUAAUGCGUGUCUUAGACCGUAUAGAGAUGUUGUGAUUAAUGCCACUUCUCAUAACUCUCCAUACGAGAAGGAAAAUUUGAAGCCAUGGUGCUCAUUUUUUCAGAUUCAAGGUUUGUGGUUAUUUCAUUAUAUCUUAGAACUUCAAUGUUAUAAUAUUUUGAAAAUUAUUCUUUUUUAAAGGAUGUUGUCGGGGCAAUAGAUGGUACACACAUUACUGCGAACGUCUCUUUAGAAGAGCAAGCUAGGUAUAACAAUAGAAAGCAAGUAAUUCCUCAAAAUGUUUUGAUAGUUUGCACAUUUGAUAUGAAAUUUACAUAUGUGCUUGUCGAUUGGGAGGGAUCAGCACAUGAUGGUCGAUUGUUAAAGAGUGCAAUAUUAUGCCAAGGGCAUAAGCUAGCAAUUCCUUUUGGUAAGUCGUAUUACUAAUUUGAAAAAGAAAAUCUUACACAUACAAGUUAUAAUAAUUAAAUAAUUACUAUGUAAUAAUAACUGUAACAGGUAAAUAUUAUCUUGUCGAUGUCAGUUUCCCAUUGGUUUUGUGAUUUCUUACGCCAUACUAUGGGACUCGUUAUCAUUGUAGAGACAUUGAGGGUCAACGUCUUGAAAGUAGCAAGGAGUUAUUCAAUUUUCGACAUUCAUCUCUACGUAAUGUCAUUGAGAGGACAAUUGGUUUGCUGAAAAAAAGAUUUGCAUAUUUGAGACAUCAACCCUACCACGACAUUGACACAGAAGCAAAGAUAGUCCUUGCUUAUUCUGCCAUCCACAACUUCUUAAGGAUUGAUGACAUAGAAGAUAUUUGUGAAGAGGACUUAGUUAGUAGCGAUGACGAGGUUAACCUUACACACUGUUGAUGUACCUAAAGAUGAAACUCCAAAUGCUCACAUAUCUUUCACAUCUCCAGAAGCAUGGUCUAAUAAAAGGAAUACAAUUGCUGUGUUAAUGUAGGCUGAUUAUCGUCCUAAUCAGCUAGAUGUAGCAGUUGAUUUCGAUUGAAGUCUAAUAUUUUAUUUAUUUAUUUAUGUUUCUAUGUAAUGGAACUAAACUUGACACACUUUCAUAUUUAGCUAUUGCUAAGAAUAAAGAUGUACUGAUAUUAGAUAGUUUUUUUCACGUCCU